ACUAUAAUCGUCAAGACUUCUACUAUGUGGCUAACGAGAAGAGAGAAGGGCAUGAAAGAAAUACGUCAAGGCUUGAGCGUGAAGGAAAGAAGUAAUGUAGGGGAGCAAACUAAAAGAAGAGGAGGAUCUUCUUGGGAAGAAAGAAGAAAGGAGGAGGGCCAAAGUAAAAAAAGACAGAACAGAGGAGGGGAUCAAAAAUCCCUAGCGCAGCCGAUCCCCAUCAGGCCUGCAUCUCACCUCUCUCCCUCACCCCUCCUUCUCCACCACCGGCCGUCGCCGCGGCCAGGCCGGCGUGGCGGUGCGCCUGCUGCUCCUCCACUCAGCCACGAGCACCAUCCGCCGCACCAUCCAUCCAUCCCAGCCGCGCCGUGCCAUCCAUCCACCACUCCACCAGCGUCACUAGCUCCACUUCACCACCGCGCCUCACCAGCGCCCACCUCGCGCGCCCCUCCUGCCGCUUCCUCUCUGAACCCGCUGUUGCUGCUGCAUCUUCCUUCUUCCUCUCGACCUCCUGUUGCUCUUCUCCAAGCACCGCUGCUGCUCCUUCCUUGCAACCCCCCUGCUGUUGUUCAUCCUCUCCACCUCCUUGCGCCUCCCUGCCGGUACCCUUCUCUGCUCAAAACUGCUGCUGCUUGUGCACUCCAGCUUCUCCUUCUUCUCCUGCCUACUGCUGGUUCUUCUUCCCCACAUCACUUUUGCUGCUCCUCUUCUCUGCCUCGCUACUGUUCUUCUUACCUGAACCUCAAAAUUGCUGCUGUUCUCUUCUAAACAACAAAACUGCUGCUACUACUACCUCAACCUCCUAUUGCUUUCUUUCUUUCUCACUCUCUUUUAAAUUUCUGUAAGAUUGAGACGCAUGUGAUUUGUAUUAUUCAGAUUUGAUAAGUGUUAGUAAUCUACUGUUGUUCAGUUCAGACUUCCUGUGUGUGUUAAUUAGUUAAAAUUGUCACUUGUGUACUGCUUGUUGCAGAUUCUUGCUCAUUUUUGUUGUCUAUGUGUUAGCUCAUGCAUCUGAGAAUUAUAAAGACAUAUGUGUGUGUGGUUGAUGUGAAACAAUUAUAUAUAUGUCUCAUGUUUGUUAGUUAGUGGUUUGUAUAAAUUCAGAUUACUACUUGUGAUUUAAUUUUGUAUUGAAAUUGUUCUCUGUGGUAGUCAGUUGUGUGAUCAUUCAAUUUUCAGUCUAUGUAUUAGCUCUGUACCUGUAAUAUAUGUUGUGACAUGAAGCAUUUUCAUCCUUGUCCAUUAUCUUGUUUCUUCACUCUGUCAUACGCUUGUUAGAUAAAUAUAUGUGUUCAUGUCCUGUUGUUCCCUUUUGUGUUAGCAUUUUAGUUUCUCAAGUAACAGGAAAACACCAAAAAAGACAAUAUAGACAAUCUGAACCUCCCCUUUGCUUAUUUUACAUUUUCUUUGGCGACGAUCUUCGGGAACUACCUUGUUAGUUUAGGUUUAUUUUCUUGCAUUUAUAAUCUGAGUUCUGUCACCUAGCUUUAGCCGAGCAUUGUUGCUGUCGCCUAGUCCCUGUGGAGAACACGACACUCACAGUUCGGGUGAAAUAUCCCGCAGUACUUUCAAUCGAUCAUUUUGGCGCCGUUGCCGGGGACUAGCGUCGUGUGACCGUGUUAGGCUAUAGACUAGGUUUUGCUUCUGUUUCUAUCUGGUGCCAUAUAUUUGUGAUAUAUCUCUUACCCCUAACCACUGUUCUAGUUAUCUUCUCUUUCUUUUCUUGUUCAUUUUGUAGGUUGAAUUGUCUUCUCGGAUAUGGCUUACUAUUCAGAUCAUCAUGCUUAUGCGAGCAACACUACAAACAACACGGAAAGUAUUCAAGAACUGAUAAGUAAGAUUUCCCAUCAAUUAGAUGAUUUAGCUCAGCAGCGAGGAGUAGUUUUUGAGGAUAGGCCUAGUUCUUAUUAUCCUUAUUCCGGAAGCAAUCCUUAUGUUGCUCCUACAUGCCAUAUUUGUGGAUUUCAGGGCCAUUCGCCCGCUGAAUGUCAGCGUGGUUACUCUCACACUCCAGAUUGUUUUGGCAUGAGCUUCGCUCAAGAGCAUAGCUCAUACCAAAACAAUUACUCACAUGGGUGUCCUGAAAACCCGAAUAUGUCAUAUAGGAGCAACAACCCCGAGAUCUCACCGCUUGCUUCUAGUAAUCAUAUGCAGGGAUUUAGGUAUGAAGAGGAGAGCCACAGCUAUGCUCCACAACAGUCUUAUUCAGCUCCUAUUCAUAUACCUCAGCACGAGGAGAUGUUGCCAAUGGAGUUAAAUGGUCCUCCAUUUGGUCAACCAACACCUUCAACACAAGUGCCUACUCAAGAUGAGUUUGAUGACAUAGACAAGUUCACACUUUUGAGUCUUGAGUUCAGUUGGAGUGCCGAGGAUGAUCCUAUUAGGAAGGUUAUACUAGAUGAAAUGAAGAAGAUCAAGAGUGGGAAUGAGCUAGUGGAAGAAGUAAAGAAGAUUGAGAAGAACAUCAACGCUGGCAGCUCUAUUUCUUCACAGCUAGAGCUGAGUGUUGCUGAGAUUCCCCUUGAUACAUGUGAGGUUCCAACACCUUCACAUUUCGUUGAGCAAGUUAGCAAGUGCCUUGAGCAAGAGAUACCUCAGAUUGAAGAAGAUGAACUAGAAGACAAGGACCAAGAUGGUCAAGAGCUGCAAUUCCCAAGUGAUCAAGUUGAAGACUCAUCAUCUACUACUGAAGAACUACAAGAAGCUGCUGUAGAUAAAGAUGAAGAUCAUGAGAUUCAUUUGCCUAUUGUCAUACCAGAGCGUGAUGUGUCAGGUUUACUCAAUCCUCUUGAUGACAUGAUGCCUUGUGAUUUCUUUGCUACUACCUUGCUUUACAUGAUACUAUCACUUAAGAUUGAUUUGAAAACUCAUUUGCUUGGAUAUGAUGAUAUAUACCCUGUUAGUGGUAUUACUCUCAUUUGUGAUGAUCAUAGUUACUUUCCUCGUGCUAAUCCUAUGCUUAAUGAAACAUAUCACUCCCAUGCUAGUCUUGCACUUAAUGAUAAAUGUCAUCCUCGUGUGAGUAUUGACCAUGCUGAUUUCUGCCAUCCUAAACAUGUGCUUUAUAGUUAUGCUUAUAUAAUUGGAUAUUCCAUUGAUGACUUGGAGGGCAUCGACCGUAUCACUUGUAGUUGUUUGUGUGAGUCCUAUUUCAGGCUUUUGCUACUGCACUGUUUACUACAUGCUGACCAGGUUUGAGGUGACAUUCCUUGGGAUCCUGGUGGAGUCACAGCAUGGCGAUGAGGGGAGCACAAACAGGGAACACAAACAGAGAAGAGUGGAGAGAAGAAAGUAGGAGAGAAGAGUAUACAAAUACCAGGUGAUUCUGUUCCACUUGAAGCAACCUUUAGAAAAUUUAGUACGAGAACUGGCAUUUUAUUGCAUUGAAACGCUUUUUGCAUUGUGACACCUUACUCUUCACUGCAAAGUAGGAUUCACUCCAAGAAGAUUGUUGAUUCUCUUAAUACUAAAACUAUGCAGCAGUAUUCUUCUUAUGGUAAUUUGUGAUAAUGAAUACUUUAUACCUCCAUGUAAAUGUUCAAUGGGAAUGCCUUGAGUCUAAGUGAAACCUACUAAUGAAUUGAUGUGCUGUGUCUGACUGUCCCACGUUAAGCUAAGUAACUGGUGGCACUUAAGUAGUAGCUAUGAUCUCUGGAUCUGUAGUAUGUGAAAAACAGUGCCAUUAGUUAUGGAUUCCUCUUUCAAUUAUUCCUGUUUUACUUAAGCUAAGUAAUUUUCAAAUAACUAAAUAAAAUAAUUAUAAUAUUUUAAGUCCGAUCGACCUAUAGUAGCAUGUCAUGUUCCCUGGAUCGGUGGCUUGUGAAAUCUGGUAGAUUGGACUCUAAAAAAAAAUUAUAUAAAAAUGCUAUAAUUUGUCGAACCAGGUGUAUACCAUGUUCUCGGGAUCGGUGGUAUGUUCCUUUGGGGAGAUAACAAAAAAAUAUACUAAUAAUUUGGUCGAGCCAGGUGUAUACCAUGUUCUCGGGAUCGGUGGUAUGUUCCUUUGGUGAGACUGAUAUAAUAUCAUCACUUGUGCUUUAAAUUCAAUAAGUAACUUGUUUUUCUAAUUGAUUUUGGGGUCCCAGCUUAUCUCAGGGCUGAAGACAGAGCCAGCUCUUGAUUAUUAGUAUUCACUUUGACUCAAGGCCAUUGACUUGGAACAUUUACAGUGUGUUAUAAAAUAUUUCUUAUCACAAUUUAGCUUCAGUAGAGUACAUUUGCUUAGUUCCAGUAUUGUCGGAAUUACUAUCUAUCGGAAAGUGCAUAUUUACUAGGCAGUGUGAGUUGUGUCACCAUCAAAUUUUUUUUCCUUUGCUCGAGGACAAGCAAAGAUUUAAGUGUGGGGGAACUUGAUAAGCACAUUUCUUAUAUACUAUUUGGGCACACAAAUUCACCUUUUAUUGAGAUAUAUCCAUCCAUUCUUGCUAUGACUUGUUGAAUAUUUGAAUGAUAACCAUAAAAGAGAAUGUUGACUAGUGAAUUGUUUAUUUUGCAGAAAAGUGCGCAAAUGCACUAUAAUCGUCAAGACUUCUACUAUGUGGCUAACGAGAAGAGAGAAGGGCAUGAAAGAAAUACGUCAAGGCUUGAGCGUGAAGGAAAGAAGUAAUGUAGGGGAGCAAACUAAAAGAAGAGGAGGAUCUUCUUGGGAAGAAAGAAGAAAGGAGGAGGGCCAAAGUAAAAAAAGACAAAACAGAGGAGGGGAUCAAAAAUCCCUAGCGCAGCCGAUCCCCAUCAGGCCUCGCAUCUCACCUCUCUCCCUCACCCCUCCUUCUCCACCACCGGCCGUCGCCGCGGCCAGGCCGGCGUGGCGGUGCGCCUGCUGCUCCUCCACUCAGCCACGAGCACCAUCCGCCGCACCAUCCAUCCAUCCCAGCCGCGCCGCGCCAUCCAUCCACCACUCCACCAGCGUCACCAGCUCCACUUCACCACCGCGCCUCCACCAGCGCCCACCUCGCGCGCCCCUCCUGCCGCUUCCUCUCUGAACCUGCUAUUGCUGCUGCAUCUUCCUUCUUCCUCUUGACCUCCUGUUGCUCUUCUCCAAGCACCGCUGCUGCUCCUUCCUUGCAACCCCCCUGUUGUUGUUCAUCCUCUCCACCUCCUUGCGCCUCCCUGCCGGUACCCUUCUCUGCUGAAAACUGCUGCUGCUUGUGCGCUCCAGCUGCUCCUUCUUCUCCUGCCUACUGCUAGUUCUUCUUCCCCACAUCACUUUUGCUGCUCCUCUUCUCUGCCUCGCUACUGUUCUUCUUACCUGAACCUCAAAAUUGUUGCUGUUCUCUUCUAAACAACAAAACUGCUGCUACUACUACCUCAACCUCCUGUUGCUUUCUUUCUUUCUCACUCUCUUUGAAAUUUCUGUAAGAUUGAGACGCAUAUGAUUUGUAUUAUUCAGAUUUGAUAAGUGUUAGUAAUCUACUGUUGUUCAGUUCAGACUUCCUGUGUGUGUUAAUUAGUUAAAAUUGUCACUUCUGUACUGCUUGUUGCAGAUUCUUGAUCAUUUUUGUUAUCUAUGUGUUAGCUCAUGCAUCUGAGAAUUAUAAAGACUGUGUGGUUGAUGUGAAACAAUUAUAUAUAUGUCUCCUGUUUGUUAGUUAGUGGUUUGUAUAAAUUCGGAUUACUACUUGUGAUUUAAUUUUGUAUUGAAAUUGUUCUCUGUGGUAGUCAGUUGUGUGAUCAUUCAAUUUUCAGUCUAUGUAUUAGCUCUGUACCUGUAAUAUAUGUUGUGACAUGAAGCAUUUUCAUCCUUGUCCAUUAUCUUGUUUCUUCACUCUGUCAUACGCUUGUUAGAUAAAUAUAUGUGUUCAUGUCCUGUUGUUCCCUUUUGUGUUAGCAUUUUAGUUUCUCAAGUAAUAGGAAAACACCAAAAAAGACAAUACAGACAAUCUGAACUUCCCCUUUGCUUAUUUUACAUUUUCUUUGGCGACGAUCUUCGGGAACUACCUUGUUUAGUUUAGGUUUAUUUUCUUGCAUUUAUAAUCUGAGUUCUGUCACCUAGCUUUAGCCGAGCAUUGUUGCUGUCGCCUAGUCCCUG
rnacentral:lncRNA from 1 species